CGGGACACGUGGUAUCCUGUCUGAAUAUGGGGGGACCAUCCUCCAAGGCUAAAUACUCCUGACUGACCGAUAGUGAACCAGUACCGUGAGGGAAAGGCGAAAAGAACCCCGGCGAGGGGAGUGAAAAAGAACCUGAAACCGUGUACGUACAAGCAGUGGGAGCACAGAGCAAUCUGUGUGACUGCGUACCUUUUGUAUAAUGGGUCAGCGACUUAUAUUCUGUAGCAAGGUUAACCGAAUAGGGGAGCCGAAGGGAAACCGAGUCUUAACUGGGCGUUAAGUUGCAGGGUAUAGACCCGAAACCCGGUGAUCUAGCCAUGGGCAGGUUGAAGGUUGGGUAACACUAACUGGAGGACCGAACCGACUAAUGUUGAAAAAUUAGCGGAUGACUUGUGGCUGGGGGUGAAAGGCCAAUCAAACCGGGAGAUAGCUGGUUCUCCCCGAAAGCUAUUUAGGUAGCGCCUCGUGAAUUCAUCUCCGGGGGUAGAGCACUGUUUCGGCAAGGGGGUCAUCCCGACUUACCAACCCGAUGCAAACUGCGAAUACCGGAGAAUGUUAUCACGGGAGACACACGGCGGGUGCUAACGUCCGUCGUGAAGAGGGAAACAACCCAGACCGCCAGCUAAGGUCCCAAAGUCAUGGUUAAGUGGGAAACG
rnacentral:rRNA from 1 species